CCCUAUGGGCGCAGCAGUGCGAAACCUCCGCAAUGCGCGAAAGCGUGACGGGGUUACCCCAAGUGCCAUCCGCUGAGGACGGCUUUUCUUUGGUGUAAUGAGCCAAAGGAAUAAGGGGAGGGCAAGACUGGUGUCAGCCGCCGCGGUAAUACCAGCUCCCCGAGUGGUAGGGACAAUUAUUGGGCUUAAAGCGUCCGUAGCCGGCCUGACAAGUCUUUCGUUAAAUCCAGCGACCUAAUCGUUGGGCUGCGGGAGAUACUAUCGGGCUAGGGGACGGGAGAGGCCGAUGGUAUUCUUGGGGUAGGGGUGAAAUCCUAUAAUCCCAGGAGGACCACCAGUGGCGAAGGCGAUCGGCUAGAACGCGCUCGACGGUGAUGGACGAAAGCUGGGGGAGCGAACCGGAUUAGAUACCCGGGUAGUCCCAGCUGUAAACGAUGCGAGCUAGGUGUUGGGGUGGUUACGAACCGCUUCAGUGCCGUAGGGAAACUGUUAAGCUCGCCGUCUGGGAAGUACGGUCGCAAGGCUGAAACUUAAAGGAAUUGGCGGGGGAGCACUACAAGGCGUGAAGCUUGCGGUUCAAUUGGAGUCAACGCCGGGAACCUUACCGGAGGCGACAGCUGAAUGAAGGCCAGAUUGAAGGUCUUGCUAGACUAGCUGAGAGGUGGUGCAUGGCCGUCGCCAGUUCGUGCCGUGAGGUAUCCUGUUAAGUCAGGUAACGAUCGAGGUCCGCACCCCUAGUUACCAUCGGGUCCCGUUGGGAUCCAGGUACAAUAGGGGGACCGCCAUCGAUAAGAUGGAGGAAGGGGCGGGCCACGGCAGGUCAGUAUGCCCCGAAUCCUCCGGGCUACACGCGAGCUGCAAUGGUGGGGACAGAGAGUCUCAACCUCGAAAGAGGACGGCAAUCUCCAAACCCCAUCUCAGUUGGGAUCGAGGGCUGAAACUCGCCCUCGUGAACAUGGAAUGCCUAGUAACCGCGUGUCAUCACCGCGCGGUGAAUACGUCCCUGCUCCUUGCACACACCGCCCGUCGCUCCAGCCGAGUGAAGUUUGGAUGAGGCGCGGUCUUAUGUCUGUGUCG
rnacentral:rRNA from 1 species